AGGAUUAACGCUGGCGGCGUGCCUAACACAUGCAAGUCGAACGAGGGGGGCAACCCCCUAGUGGCAGACGGGUGAGUAACGCGUGGUCAACCUACCCUAGAGUGGGGGAUAACUAGCCGAAAGGUUAGCUAAUACCGCAUGAUACGUUUGGGACAUCCCUGAACGUUGAAAGGAGCAAUCCGCUCAAGGACGGGACCGCGUCCGAUUAGCUAGUUGGUGGGGUAACGGCCCACCAAGGCUUCGAUCGGUAGCUGGUUUGAGAGAGCGACCAGCCACACUGGGACUGAGAAACGGCCCAGACUCCUACGGGAGGCAGCAGUGAGGAAUUUUCCGCAAUGGGCGAAAGCCUGACGGAGCGACGCCGCGUGUGGGAAGAAGGCUUUCGGGUUGUAAACCCCUUUCAGUUGGGACGAAGCUCCGUGGGUUAAUAGCCCACUGGAGUGACGGUACCUUCACAAGAAGCACCGGCUAACUACGUGCCAGCAGCCGC
rnacentral:rRNA from 1 species